rnacentral:rRNA from 1 species
UACUCGAGUGGCGAACGGGUGAGUAACACGUGGGUGAUCUGCCCUGCACUUCGGGAUAAGCUUGGGAAACUGGGUCUAAUACCGGAUAGGAGCCAUCUUUAGUGUGGUGGUUGGAAAGUUUUUUCGGUGUAGGAUGAGCUGCGGCCUAUCAGCUUGUUGGUGGGGUAAUGGCCUACCAAGGCGGCGACGGGUAGCCGGCCUGAGAGGGUGUACGGCCACAUUGGGACUGAGAUACGGCCCAG